rnacentral:rRNA from 1 species
AUUGAACGCUGGCGGCAUGCCUUACACAUGCAAGUCGAACGGUAACGCGGGGCAACCUGGCGACGAGUGGCGAACGGGUGAGUAAUGUAUCGGAACGUGCCCAGUUGUGGGGGAUAACUGCUCGAAAGAGCAGCUAAUACCGCAUACGACCUGAGGGUGAAAGCGGGGGAUCGCAAGACCUCGCGCAGUUGGAGCGGCCGAUAACAGAUUAGGUAGUUGGUGGGGUAAAGGCUCACCAAGCCAACGAUCUGUAGCUGGUCUGAGAGGACGACCAGCCACACUGGGACUGAGACACGGCCCAGACUCCUACGGGAGGCAGCAGUGGGGAAUUUUGGACAAUGGGCGCAAGCCUGAUCCAGCCAUGCCGCGUGCGGGAAGAAGGCCUUCGGGUUGUAAACCGCUUUUGUCAGGGAAGAAAAGACUCCUGUUAAUACCGGGGGUUCAUGACGGUACCUGAAGAAUAAGCACCGGCUAACUACGUGCCAGCAGCAGCCGCAG